AGCAGCUUGGUCACAUACCAGGACGCAGACGGACAUUCUCUGCCAGGUCCUGCAGACCUGAGGAUCAGGCGCCCAGGCAUCCCCAAGACCAAGAUACCACAAGAACAGCUAAUGGGGGUGAACCUCCAGAACCUGCUGGCUCUCUCCACCAGAGGUUGGGUCCAGACCCAGGAGUGGGCCUGGCGGGCCCCAGGUCAUACCUCCUGGGUAUGAGAGGGCCCCAAGGGUGCAGAGACUGGCACCCCUCUGCAGAAUUGUACACUGUGUGAGAAGCAUUCAAAUAAAGGUGUGUGGUGUUAUAGC
rnacentral:lncRNA from 1 species